AUGGAUCACAACCCGGAGAUCAUUUGCUGGAACGUGAGAGGGCUGAAUAACCCUGCCAAGAGGAAGGUAGUUAGGGAGUUUCUUUCUUCGCUUAGAGUAAACCUAGUCUGCUUACAAGAGACCAAGCUCGAGAUUGUAGACCAGUUUGUUGUCUUGCAAUGUUUAGGGCCAUCCCUUGAUGGCUUUGCCUACUUGCCUGCUGUGGAAACGCGUGGUGGUAUCUUACCGGGUUGGGACACGACACGCCUAUCCAUGGACUGCAUCCAACUCGAUUCAAACUUCCUCACGGGCAAAGUCCAUCAGAUGAUGGCAAUGAAUGGUGGAUCUCAGUGGUCUAUGCGCCGCAAGGUGAUGAGCUGA
rnacentral:rRNA from 1 species